GAUGAACGCUGGCGGCGUGCCUAAUACAUGCAAGUCGAGCGAACAGACGAGGAGCUUGCUCCUCUGACGUUAGCGGCGGACGGGUGAGUAACACGUGGAUAACCUACCUAUAAGACUGGGAUAACUUCGGGAAACCGGAGCUAAUACCGGAUAAUAUAUUGAACCGCAUGGUUCAAUAGUGAAAGACGGUUUUGCUGUCACUUAUAGAUGGAUCCGCGCCGCAUUAGCUAGUUGGUAAGGUAACGGCUUACCAAGGCAACGAUGCGUAGCCGACCUGAGAGGGGGAUCGGCCACCCUGGAACUGAGACACGGUCCAGACUCCUACGGGAGGCAGCAGUAGGGAACCUUCCGCAAUGGGCGAAAGCCUGGCGGAGCAACGCCGCGUGAGUGAUGAAGGUCUUCGGAUCGUAAAACUCUGUUAUUAGGGAAGAACAAAUGUGUAAGUAACUAUGCACGUCUUGACGGUACCUAAUCAGAAAGCCACGGCUAACUACGUG
rnacentral:rRNA from 1 species